GCACUGUGAGGAGACAGCUACCACAUCGUGCUAAACUUACCCAGCACCGUGGGAAGGUCUGUGAGAAGGAGCUUAGCCCACCAACUGCCAUCACAGAGAAGACUGAGGCAGGAGGAUUGCCAUAAGUUUGAGGACAUCCUACCUGAACUAUGAGUUGGGACCCUGUCUCAAAAAAAACACAGCCAGAGGCUGGCUGACUUCCUUGGGAACCCCGGCUCUUUAGCCACCAGCUGUCUGUUCUCUGAUGGGAAUCCUGUCUCUAGUGACCUCCUUACCUCCGAUAAUUUGUCUACCUGUUAAUGACUCUGCCUCUUAGACAUCGUCCCAGUAGACAUUAUGCUUUCAGCCU
ensembl:processed_transcript 4930417H01Rik uncharacterized LOC110317491